rnacentral:lncRNA from 1 species
CUUCUCUGUUCCCCUAAGGGAGUUUCCCAGCAGAGGUGUGAGUUGCUUCUCUGCUCCACUCUGCAAAGAGAGUUUCUCAGCAGAGAUUCUGCUUCAUGCUGGUGAAAGAAGAUCUUUACCCAAAACUCUUUCAAGAGAUUUAAUUUGGGAAAGAGGAAUCCAGGAGAGUGGUUGCUUAUGUCAGGGUGAAGAAGGACAGCAGCCUACUGAAAAGUAUGUCAAGAGCAACUAAGCUUGGUGAGCUGUCACAGUCGUCAUGACGGGAUUAGAAUCUCUGCUUUUCUGAUCCUGUGGCUCCUGUCAUGGCAUUCCUGAGAAACAGGGGAGCACCAGGAGAGGAAUGUUCCACCCCCGCCUUUGAGGAUGCUACAAUCCAGUAUAUUCCACAAGGGAAAGUUUGGAGAGACCAGCAUCAUCGUUGGUAAAGUCACAUUGGUAAAACAAGAACCUAGGCCAGGCCAGAGACUAUCCCAGGAAUCACCUACAGCAAACUUGGUGGCAUCUAGACAGGAGAUCCUCAUGGAGACACUAAAACAGAAUUCCUAGGAUGGCUAUGAAGAUUCAGUAACAUCGUAUGUGUAAAGGACAUGGUGGAAAGUAUGUGCUCAAUCCAUUUCACAUAGAGGGAUACUCCCUCAGCCUAGACACUUGGGGAGGGCCUAGACCCUGUCCCAAAGGAUAUGACCGAUUCUGAAGAUGCC